GGCCCCGGGAGGUGUUUUUGGGGGGUCCUGUGGUCUGCAGUGGCUGCUCCCAAUAUGUGCCCAGUUGGUCCCUCCAUGUGCUUCCAGUUUCCUCGGCACUCCCAGUAUGAGCCCAGUCACUCCCAGCAGGGUCCCAGUCACUACCACUUGUUCCCAGUGUGUUCCCAGUUCCCCCACCACAUUCCCAGUUGCUCCUAGUUUGGUCCCAGUGACGCCCCCAUAUGGUCUCAGAUACUCCCAGUCAAUCCCAGUAUGAUUCCAGUCACCCUCAGUGUGAUCCCGAUCUCACCCAGCCUGCACUCAUCUGCUUCCAGUGUGAUUCAAGCGUGAUCCCAGUUGCCCCCGGCAUAGUUCCAGUUGGUCCCAGUAGCUCCCAUUAUGAUCCCAGUUGCCCCUUGAAUAGUCCCAGUCCUUCCCAGCAGGGUCCCAGCCAUGCCCAGUUGCCCCAAGUGUGGUCUGAGUUGUCCCCAGCAUGUUCCCAGCUGUUCCCAGUGUGGUCGCAGUCACUCCCCAGAUGAUCCCAGUCCCUUCUGGCAUGGUCCCACUCACUCCCAGUUGCCCCCAGCAUGGUCCCAGUUCUUCCCAGCAUGGUCUUGGUUGAUCUCAGUGUGGUUCCAGUCACCCCAGUAUGGUUACAGACACUCCCAGUAUAUCCCAGUUGCCCCCAGCAUGUCUGUAGUCAUUUCCAGGCACUGCCAGUGGCCCCAGUGAGGUGUUCGUUAUCCCAGUAUGAUCCCCCAGUCAUGCCCAGAAUAUCCCAGUUGCCUCCAGCCUGCAUCCAGUCCUUCCCAGUUCCUGCAAUUUGCUUGAGCAUGAUCCCAGUUUCUCUUUGCUGCUCCCCGUAGCCCAAAGUGUGAUCCCAGUCACUCCCUUUCAACCCCAGUAUGAUCCCAGUAAGCUCCAGUUUGAUCCCAGUCACACACCAGUCCUCCCAGUGUGGUCCCAGUAUAAUCCCAGUUGCUUCCAGUCUUUCCCAGUAUGGUCCCAGCUGCCUCCAGCAUGGUUCCAGUUGCUUCCUGGAUCAACACACUCAGUCCCAGUACAAUGCCAUUUGUUCCCAGCGUGCUCCCAGUUGCUCCCAGUCAGGCCCAGUGUGGGGGAUGAUGUGCAGGGUGUGUUCCCAGUCACUCUCAGAUACUCCCAGUAUUAGUCCAUUCCCUCCCAGUAUGAUCCAAAGCUGACCCAGUGUGCUCCCAGUCCCUGCCAGUAUGAAGCAGUUGAGCUCCACAUGGUUCCAGUUGCUCUCUUUCACCCUCACUUUUGUUCCACUCCCUCCAAGUAUCUCCGAGUGUAGCCCAGUUCCCUUCCGCAUGUUCCCAGUCAGUCCCAGUUCCUUCCAGUAUGAUCCCAUUAGGUCAGAACCACUGCCAGUCAGCCUCAGUGUGGUCGCACUCAAUGCCAGUUGUUUCCAAUCACCCCCAGCAUGUAACCAGUCACACCCAGUUCCUCCCAGUUGGGUUUUUUGGGGGAUGUUUGGAGAAUGAAGUACAAGGCUGAGUGGAAAAGGCCCUUCGGGGGGACAUCAGGGGGUGGCGGCGGCGACUGCCAGCAGAGGCAGCCUGGAGGAGCAGAGCCCUGUGUCCCCCAGGAGCCCAAAGUGGGGAGCCCAGAGAGGGGGGAGCGCCGCCGUUGGCGGGAGCCUCAGAGCCUGGAGAGGGGCAGGGGGGACUGCUUGGAGCCCCUGCAGCCCCGAGCAGAGAAUGAGGGGAGAAGGGAGCCUGGGAGCCCAAACAGCCCCAGCAUCCUGAAAUGGGGAGAGCAAAGAGGGGGGAGCUUUUGGGAUUGCUGGGACUGCCAGCAGCCUGGCGAGGGCGGGCACCGAGGAGAACGGGGGACCCCCCAACACAGCCAUGACCCCUAGGUGCUGGGCCACAGUGGGUACCCCAAACACCAAAGGGGAGGGACGGGGGAUGGGGAACUCCUGGGAGACUUUUUCAGGCCUGAACCUUGGUGUUUGGGAGGCUUUUCUGGAGCCCAGAUGGCUGGUGACUUGUAGAGAUGGCCUUGAGCAGAGGGACCUUCAAAGUCCACGUGCUCAACCCUUGGUUUCCCCAAACCAGAAUUUCUCACUCCCAGCCCUUGGGAGGCUGUGAAGAAGAGGAAGAUGCCCUGGGAUACCAAGGCAGAGCAGGAGCUGAGCAUGGAGAGCAGGGAGGACAAAUCCCCACGGCAGAACCUGGUGGAAGAGGCCGUUUUGAGUGGCUCCACGGUGCAGGAACCCAAUGGGGAGGAAAAGCUCCGGAGAUCCCACACGAGGAGGGGCUGCAAACGCAGAUCACAGGGAUCUGAGGGGGAAAGAGCCAGCCUGGGCUGGGAAAGCGGCCGGAGAUGGAGCCAGAGCUCGGAGCUGGUGCUUCAUGAGCAGCUCCAUGGUGGGGAGAAGCCCCAAAAGUGCUUGGAAUGUGGGAAGAGCUUCAGGGGAGGUCCAACCUGAUCAAUCACCAGAGGAUCCACACUAGUGAACAGCCCAUUGAGUGGGAUCAAUGCAGGAAGAGGUUUCAGACCAGCUCUGAUCUCUUCAAGCACCAGCGCAGGCGCACAGAGGAGAGGCCCUUCCACUGCCCCAACUGCGGGCAGGGCUUCAGGUGACAUAGCAAUCUUGUCAUGCACCGACGCAUCCACACUGAGGAGAGGCCCUAAGAAUGUGGGAAACGUGGGAAGAGCUUUUCUAGGAGCUUUCACUUGACCCAACACCAACGGACGCACCAGUAAGGGAAGCCCUGUGAGUGCCCCGAGUGUGGGAAGAGCUUCGUGCGCUGCUCCAGCUCCAUCCCCCACUGGAGAGGAGUCAUGUUGGGCACAGCCCUGGUACCCCACAUUCCAUGCAAUCCAUGUUGUGAACACAUCUGGCUGGUUUUCCUUUUGGUUUGGCUUUAAUCUUUUUCACUUCUCCGUAUCUUUGCAGUCCAAAAGCCAAGAGGGAUCGAUCUUUCACCUCAAAACUACUCAAAUCCCACUGAAAACGACUGAAUUUUAACUCAAAAGGGCUCAUUCCCACCUCAAAUUGCUUGUUCCCUCCUCACAAAAGCUCUGUCCGAGGCCAAACUCACUCCAUUCCACAGCUGCCAGGCAAAGAUGGAGUUGGGAGGAGAUUGGGAGAAGUGGGAUCCCAGUUUGGAGCAGUGGGAUGGGGAUUGUGUGGGGCUGGCUGGGUGGGAUGUAUUUGAUAGCAAAUAAAACUUUCAGAGUUACUGA